CCGGCCCGCCGCCAUGUUGUUCCCUUGGUGCUGGACGUGAGUAGCUGGAGUUGGACCCGGGCAGAGCUACUACGGUCUCCUGUCCGCGGGUCCCCGACCUUCUCUCCUCGUUGCACCCGAACGGGCCAGCCGGGACCUCCCCGGGCGUCCUCUGUGUGGCCACGAGAUAAUGAUGCUACUUGAACCGAACAAUUAAGGGUUCUAAG
rnacentral:lncRNA from 1 species